rnacentral:rRNA from 1 species
UCCUACGGGAGGCAGCAGUGAGGAAUAUUGGUCAAUGGUCGGGAGACUGAACCAGCCAAGCCGCGUGAGGGAUGAAGGUACAGAGUAUCGUAAACCUCUUUUGUCAGGGAACAAAGGCGGGGACGUGUCCCCGGAUGAGUGUACCUGAAGAAAAAGCAUCGGCUAACUCCGUGCCAGCAGCCGCGGUAAUACGGAGGAUGCGAGCGUUAUCCGGAUUUAUUGGGUUUAAAGGGUGCGCAGGCGGUCUGUUAAGUCAGCGGUCAAAUCCCGGGGCUCAACCCCGGCCCGCCGUUGAAACUGGCAGG